GACAGAGGCCCCAAGCGUUAGGCGGAAUCACUGGGCUUAAAGCGUGUGUAGGCGGACGCCUAAGUGUCUUGUGAAAUCCCCCGGCUCACCCGGGGAACUGCUGGGCAUACUGGGCGUCUUGGGCCAACUAGGGGCAGCCGGAACAAGCGGUGGAGCGGUGAAAUGCGCAGAUAUCAGGAGGAACACCGGUGGCGAAGGCGGGUCUCUGGGCCGUAACUGACGCUGAGGAGCGAAAGCGUGGGGAGCGAACAGG
rnacentral:rRNA from 1 species